rnacentral:rRNA from 1 species
AUCUUGAGAGCGGCGUACGGGUGCGGAACACGUGUGCAACCUACCUUUAUCAGGGGGAUAGCCUUUCGAAAGGAAGAUUAAUACCCCAUAAUAUAUUUAUCGGCAUCGAUGGAUAUUGAAAACUCCGGUGGAUAGAGAUGGGCACGCGCAAGAUUAGAUAGUUGGUGAGGUAACGGCUCACCAAGUCUACGAUCUUUAGGGGGCCUGAGAGGGUGAUCCCCCACACUGGUACUGAGACACGGACCAGACUCCUACGGGAGGCAGCAGUGAGGAAUAUUGGACAAUGGGUGAGAGCCUGAUCCAGCCAUCCCGCGUGAAGGACGACGGCCCUAUGGGUUGUAAACUUCUUUUGUAUAGGGAUAAACCUACCCUCGUGAGGGUAGCUGAAGGUACUAUACGAAUAAGCACCGGCUAACUCCGUGCCAGCAGCCGCGGUAAUACGGAGGGUGCAAGCGUUAUCCGGAUUUAUUGGGUUUAAAGGGUCCGUAGGCGGAUCUGUAAGUCAGUGGUGAAAUCUCACAGCUUAACUGUGAAACUGCCAUUGAUACUGCAGGUCUUGAGUGUUAUUGAAGUAGCUGGAAUAAGUAGUGUAGCGGUGAAAUGCAUAGAUAUUACUUAGAACACCAAUUGCGAAGGCAGGUUACUAAGCAACAACUGACGCUGAUGGACGAAAGCGUGGGGAGCGAACAGGAUUAGAUACCCUGGUAGUCCACGCCGUAAACGAUGCUAACUCGUUUUUGGGCUUUCGGGUUCAGAGACUAAGCGAAAGUGAUAAGUUAGCCACCUGGGGAGUACGUUCGCAAGAAUGAAACUCAAAGGAAUUGACGGGGGCCCGCACAAGCGGUGGAUUAUGUGGUUUAAUUCGAUGAUACGCGAGGAACCUUACCAAGGCUUAAAUGGGAAAUGACAGGUUUAGAAAUAGACUUUUCUUCGGACAUUUUUCAAGGUGCUGCAUGGUUGUCGUCAGCUCGUGCCGUGAGGUGUUAGGUUAAGUCCUGCAACGAGCGCAACCCCUGUCACUAGUUGCCAUCAUUAAGUUGGGGACUCUAGUGAGACUGCCUACGCAAGUAGAGAGGAAGGUGGGGAUGACGUCAAAUCAUCACGGCCCUUACGCCUUGGGCCACACACGUAAUACAAUGGCCGGUACAGAGGGCAGCUACACUGCGAAGUGAUGCAAAUCUCGAAAGCCGGUCUCAGUUCGGAUUGGAGUCUGCAACUCGACUCUAUGAAGCUGGAAUCGCUAGUAAUCGCGCAUCAGCCAUGGCGC